CUUCUGUUAGGUGAGGUUCCGUUACGGAUACAUGCUGCUGCCCCCAAACAUCCAGAGAUGCCCCGGGGUCAACAGGUAUUACCGAGUUAAGGUUUUACUUAAUGUAGCUGGCAUGGCUUAGCCGAUGCCAAAGCUGUAACGUGCCAAAGCUCUACGUU
rnacentral:sRNA from 1 species